rnacentral:rRNA from 1 species
UCCCCUAGUAACUGCGAGUGAAGCGGGAAGAGCUCAAAUUUAAAAUCUGGCAGUCUUCUGGCUGUCCGAGUUGUAAUCUGGAGAAGCGUUUUCUGUGUUGGACCGUGUACAAGUCUCCUGGAACGGAGCGUCAUAGAGGGUGAGAAUCCCGUCCAUGGCACGGACUACCAAUACUUUGUGAUACGCUCUCGAAGAGUCGAGUUGUUUGGGAAUGCAGCUCAAAAUGGGUGGUAAAUUCCAUCUAAAGCUAAAUACAGGCGAGAGACCGAUAGCAAACAAGUACCGUGAGGGAAAGAUGAAAAGCACUUUGGAAAGAGAGUUAAACAGUACGUGAAAUUGUUGAAAGGGAAACGCUUGAAGUCAGUCGCGUUGUGCAGAACUCAGCCUUGCCUCGGCUUGGUGUACUUUCUGCAGAACGGGUCAACAUCAAUUUUGACCCAUGGAGAAAGGUGUGGGGAAUGUAGCAUUGUUUCGGCAGUGUGUUAUAGCCCCUCUACUGUAUACAUGGGUUGGGAUUGAGGAACGCAGCACGCCCUUGUGGCCGGAGGUUCGCCUCACGUACUGUGCUUAGGAUGUUGGCAGAAUGGCUUUAAGCGACCCGUCUUGAAACACGGACCAAGGAGUCUAACAUGCUUGCGAGUGUUCGGGUGGAAAACCCUUGUGCGUAAUGAAAGUGAAAGUUGGGAACCUCCGCAAGGGGGAGCACCGACGCCCGGCCCUGACGUUCUCUGACGGUGCUGCGGUAGAGCAAGUAUGCUGGGACCCGAAAGAUGGUGAACUAUGCCUGAAUAGGGCGAAGCCAGAGGAAACUCUGGUGGAGGCUCGUAGCGAUUCUGACGUGCAAAUCGAUCGUCAAAUUUGGG